AUUGAACGCUGGCGGCAGGCCUAACACAUGCAAGUCGAACGGUAACAGGAAGAAGCUUGCUUCUUUGCUGACGAGUGGCGGACGGGUGAGUAAUGUCUGGGAAACUGCCUGAUGGAGGGGGAUAACUACUGGAAACGGUAGCUAAUACCGCAUAACGUCGCAAGACCAAAGAGGGGGACCUUCGGGCCUCUUGCCAUCGGAUGUGCCCAGAUGGGAUUAGCUAGUAGGUGGGGUAACGGCUCACCUAGGCGACGAUCCCUAGCUGGUCUGAGAGGAUGACCAGCCACACUGGAACUGAGACACGGUCCAGACUCCUACGGGAGGGAGCAGUGGGGAAUAUUGCACAAUGGGCGCAAGCCUGAUGCAGCCAUGCCGCGUGUAUGAAGAAGGCCUUCGGGUUGUAAAGUACUUUCAGGGGGGAGGAAGGGAGUAAAGUUAAUACCUUUGCUCAUUGACGUUACCCGCAGAAGAAGCACCGGCUAACUCCGUG
rnacentral:rRNA from 1 species